AAAUUGAAGAGUUUGAUCAUGGCUCAGAUUGAACGCUGGCGGCAGGCCUAACACAUGCAAGUCGAACGGUAACAGGAAGCAGCUUGCUGCUUUGCUGACGAGUGGCGGACGGGUGAGUAAUGUCUGGGAAACUGCCUGAUGGAGGGGGAUAACUACUGGAAACGGUAGCUAAUACCGCAUAACGUCGCAAGACCAAAGAGGGGGACCUUCGGGCCUCUUGCCAUCGGAUGUGCCCAGAUGGGAUUAGCUUGUUGGUGGGGUAACGGCUCACCAAGGCGACGAUCCCUAGCUGGUCUGAGAGGAUGACCAGCCACACUGGAACUGAGACACGGUCCAGACUCCUACGGGAGGCAGCAGUGGGGAAUAUUGCACAAUGGGCGAAAGCCUGAUGCAGCCAUGCCGCGUGUAUGAAGAAGGCCUUCGGGUUGUAAAGUACUUUCAGCGGGGAGGAAGGGAGUAAAGUUAAUACCUUU
rnacentral:rRNA from 1 species